rnacentral:rRNA from 1 species
AUUGAACGCUGGCGGCAGGCCUAACACAUGCAAGUCGAGCGGAUGAAGGGAGCUUGCUCCUGGAUUCAGCGGCGGACGGGUGAGUAAUGCCUAGGAAUCUGCCUGGUAGUGGGGGAUAACGUCCGGAAACGGGCGCUAAUACCGCAUACGUCCUGAGGGAGAAAGUGGGGGAUCUUCGGACCUCACGCUAUCAGAUGAGCCUAGGUCGGAGUAGCUAGUUGGUGGGGUAAAGGCCUACCAAGGCGACGAUCCGUAACUGGUCUGAGAGGAUGAUCAGUCACACUGGAACUGAGACACGGUCCAGACUCCUACGGGAGGCAGCAGUGGGGAAUAUUGGACAAUGGGCGAAAGCCUGAUCCAGCCAUGCCGCGUGUGUGAAGAAGGUCUUCGGAUUGUAAAGCACCUUAAGUUGGGAGGAAGGGCAGUAAGUUAAUACCUUGCUGUUUUGACGUUACCAACAGAAUAAGCACCGGCUAACUUCGUG